rnacentral:rRNA from 1 species
AUACGGAGGGUGCAAGCGUUACUCGGAAUCACUGGGCGUAAAGCGCGCGCAGGCGGUCUUUUAAGUUGGAUGUGAAAGCCUACGGCUCAACCGUAGAACUGCAUCCAAAACUAUUAGACUAGAGUGUGGGAGAGGAAGAUGGAAUUAGUUGUGUAGGGGUAAAAUCCGUAGAGAUAACUAGGAAUACCAAAAGCGAAGGCAAUCUUCUGGAACACUACUGACGCUGAGGCGCGAAAGCGUGGGGAGCAAACAGGAUUAGAAACCCGUGUAGUCC